CUCAACCACCGUCUCAGCAAAACCCACGACGUACAUGGCCACCGCCACAGCGUUGGCGAAGGCGAAGAUGAGACCGAUGGAGCCUCCGAACUCUGGACCCAGACUUCUGGAGAUCAGUUUUCCUCCUGCUGGUCGGUUCCUCACCUCCGCGUACGAAGCCGUUGGUUGCUAUGGCGGAGGUCGACAGGCCGGUGAUGGUGGUGACCAGAGUGGCCAUGAGGAUGAUGGCGAUGGUGAGUCCUGUUUCACAAAAACACCUAAACCGUUAAAACCCUGAACAAGAAAAGCUCCUUCACUUCA